GUCGCGCCACACACACGCAGAGUAGGUGAAGGGCACCCUAAGACAACUUAUUUCUUUCCCGCCUCACAGAAAGCCUUUACGAAAUCCUCACACCAUCUCCGGACGCAAAGCUUUCGCAUUCAGCUUGAGGAGCUAAACCAUUUCAAGCCAAGACCUCUCUCCUUGAAGACAAAGUGUUGAUAUCAACUCCACCUUCAAGUCUCUCAAGCAGAACUAGAUGCUGUUUCUUCAAUGUUUCCACAUCUUCUUGUUCACAUGUGUCUAAGACACUUGCGUACUACAUUGUAAGCCAUUUUUACUAUGAAGAAGAUUGUAAGCUCAAUUACGGGCUUUACUGCGCUGAUAACGAACACAGAUAUGAGACAAGCAGACUUGAGCUCCUGCCUCGAGGAUGGUGAGCAAAGAGCCUAAGCAAAACUGAGAGGAAAUGAAACACAAAGAGGAAACAGAAAGCAACAAUAGGAAAUGGAUCCAUCCGGCUCACCCCUUCCUCCUGUACUUCAAUCUUGCCACUAGCUGAACCCAACAGGAAGCUAAGUGGCAGAGAAGUGAGGGAAAUACAGCCUGCAAAGAAGGACAAGGGAAGGACCUGGGGGCAAACA
rnacentral:lncRNA from 10 species